UACGAAGGGGGCUAGCGUUGCUCGGAAUCACUGGGCGUAAAGGGCGCGUAGGCGGCCGAUCAAGUCGGGGGUGAAAGCCUGUGGCUCAACCACAGAAUUGCCUUCGAUACUGUUUGGCUAGAGGCCGGAAGAGGUUAGUGGAACUGCGAGUGUAGAGGUGAAAUUCGUAGAUAUUCGCAAGAACACCAGUGGCGAAGGCGGCUAACUGGUCCGGUUCUGACGCUGAGGCGCGAAAGCGUGGGGAGCAAACAGG
rnacentral:rRNA from 1 species